AGUCUGCAACAACAGCUCCAGACAGUAACAGUAACAGUAACAAGAACAGCCAACAACUAGGCGAUUUCCAUACUUCUUAUCCCCGGUGAAGUUCGGGUUCGAAGACGGAUCUUAACAGAUCCGUCCAGGUUCGUCCUCUUUUGAUUAAAUUCCCAUCAAUAAAUUUCUUAGUUGUAACUAAUUUUUAUAUUACAUGUUUAUCUUAUGUGAGAAUCAUUAAUGCUUAAGCAAUGUCAUCUCAAGCAUGAAUCGAGUCCUUUUGGUUUGAGUUGUUUAAGUCGCGCAUGUUAUUAUAAAUUUAGUGUGAAUUUGCCUUGUUUUAAAAUUCUCUAUUAGAAUCCCAAUGAUCCUGGAAUAUUGCUUUUGUAUUCAAGAUUGGUCGUUCUUAAGUUAAUCUGUUAGGAUUUGAUGAUGGAAUUUUCUCGUUAAUUAAUAUAACUAGUGUCUAAAACAAAGUGACUAUUGGCUUAUUUGAUUAUGUAAGACUAGCAUGUAAUUUGCUUGCUUGAUUUUGCAUAAUUUUGAUUAUUUGAUGCUAAAUGAAUCCGGACAGAUUUGGCGGCUCUUGGUAAGGUAAAUUUGCUUAUUAUUAAUUUUUAAUUGAUUGUAAUAGCCUUAAUUUGAGUUGAAUGGAUCCGGUUCCUUACUUGUUUUAUUUUUUGAAUGGAGAUAAAUAUAAUAUUACUGAUCUAGUUCUUUAAAUAAAGAAAAUAUUUAAUUGAUCCCUCCCCCAUUAAUUAUUGUCCCAAACAGAUUUCCUACAUGUGAUAUCCUUGGUAAGUGAUUGAUUUUAAUUUGUUUCCUUCGCUUGUGGACUGAUUUUACUUCCUACGGAUAAGGAAUUGAUAGUGCAUUAAUUGGC
rnacentral:lncRNA from 1 species